rnacentral:tRNA from 1 species
GGUGGGGUGGCUGAGUGGUUGAAGGCGACAGUCUUGAAAACUGUUGUACUCGCAAGGGUACCGUGAGUUCGAAUCUCACCCCCACCGCCA